GAUGAACGCUAGCGGGAGGCCUAACACAUGCAAGCUGAGCGGUAGAGUAUCUUCGGAGACUUGAGAGCGGCGUACGGGUGCGGAACACGUGUGCAACCUGCCUUUAUCAGGGGGAUAGCCUUUCGAAAGGAAGAUUAAUACCCCAUAAUAUAUAGAGUGGCAUCACUUUAUAUUGAAAACUGAGGUGGAUAAAGAUGGGCACGCGCAAGAUUAGAUAGUUGGUGAGGUAACGGCUCACCAAGUCGAUGAUCUUUAGGGGGCCUGAGAGGGUGAUCCCCCACACUGGUACUGAGACACGGACCAGACUCCUACGGGAGGCAGCAGUAAGGAAUAUUGGACAAUGGGUUAGCGCCUGAUCCAGCCAUCCCGCGUGAAGGACGACGGCCCUAUGGGUUGUAAACUUCUUUUGUACAGGGAUAAACCUAUUUACGUGUAAAUAGCUGAAGGUACUGUACGAAUAAGCACCGGCUAACUCCGUGCCAGCCGCCGCCGUAAGAC
rnacentral:rRNA from 1 species